GCCCGAGUGGCGGAAUCGGCAGACGCACGGGACUUAAAAUCCCGCGAGGUUUACCCCUCGUACCAGUUCAAGUCUGGUCUCGGGCACCA
rnacentral:tRNA from 1 species